GGUUAAGUGACUAAGCGUACACGGUGGAUGCCUUGGCAGUCAGAGGCGAUGAAAGACGUAGUAACUUGCGAUAAGCCCAGAUUAGGUAGUAACAACCAUUUGAGUCUGGGAUUUCUGAAUGGGGAAACCCACGUGCAUAAGCACGUAUCCUUACCUGAAUACAUAGGGUAAGGAGGCGAACCGGGGGAACUGAAACAUCUAAGUACCCCGAGGAAAAGAAAUCAACCGAGAUUCCGAAAGUAGCGGCGAGCGAAAUUGGACUAGCCCUUAAGCUUUACACGCGUUAGACGAACGGUCUGGAAAGUCCGACGAUACAGGGUGAUAGUCCCGUAGUUGACGACGUGUGUUCAGUGAAAUCGAGUAGGGCGGGACACGUGAUAUCCUGUCUGAAUAUGGGGGGACCAUCCUCCAAGGCUAAAUACUACUGACUGACCGAUAGUGAACCAGUACCGUGAGGGAAAGGCGAAAAGAACCCCUGUGAGGGGAGUGAAAUAGAACCUGAAACCGUGUACGUACAAGCAGUAGGAGCAGGCUUGUCCUGUGACUGCGUACCUUUUGUAUAAUGGGUCAGCGACUUAUAUUCAGUGGCAAGGUUAACCAUCUAGGGGAGCCGUAGGGAAACCGAGUCUUAACUGGGCGUUCAGUCUCUGGAUAUAGACCCGAAACCAGGUGAUCUAGCCAUGGGCAGGUUGAAGGUUGAGUAACAUCAACUGGAGGACCGAACCGACUAAUGUUGAAAAAUUAGCGGAUGACUUGUGGCUAGGGGUGAAAGGCCAAUCAAACCUGGAGAUAGCUGGUUCUCCCCGAAAGCUAUUUAGGUAGCGCCUCGGACGAAUACUACUGGGGGUAGAGCACUGUUAAGGCUAGGGGGUCAUCCCGACUUACCAACCCUUUGCAAACUCCGAAUACCAGUAAGUACUAUCCGGGAGACACACGGCGGGUGCUAACGUCCGUCGUGGAGAGGGAAACAACCCAGACCGCCAGCUAAGGUCCCAAAUUACUACUAAGUGGGAAACGAUGUGGGAAGGCUCAGACAGCCAGGAUGUUGGCUUAGAAGCAGCCAUCAUUUAAAGAAAGCGUAAUAGCUCACUGGUCGAGUCGGCCUGCGCGGAAGAUGUAACGGGGCUAAGUAGUAAACCGAAGCUGCGGCAAUGUGCUUUUGCACAUUGGGUAGGGGAGCGUUCUGUAAGCGGUUGAAGGUGUGUGGUAACGCAUGCUGGACGUAUCAGAAGUGCGAAUGCUGACAUGAGUAACGAUAAAGGGGGUGAAAAACCUCCUCGCCGGAAGACCAAGGGUUCCUGUCCAACGUUAAUCGGGGCAGGGUAAGUCGACCCCUAAGGCGAGGCCGAAAGGCGUAGUCGAUGGGAAACGGGUUAAUAUUCCCGUACUUCUUACAAUUGCGAUGGGGGGACGGAGAAGGCUAGGUGGGCCUGGCGACGGUUGUCCAGGUUCAAGUGCGUAGGCUUAAGAGUUAGGUAAAUCCGGCUCUUUCUAAGGCUGAGACACGACGUCGAGCACCUACGGGUGUGAAGUCAUUGAUGCCAUGCUUCCAGGAAAAGCCUCUAAGCUUCAGAUUGUAAGGAAUCGUACCCCAAACCGACACAGGUGGUCGGGUAGAGAAUACCAAGGCGCUUGAGAGAACUCGGGUGAAGGAACUAGGCAAAAUGGUACCGUAACUUCGGGAGAAGGUACGCUCUCGACGGUGAAGUCCCUUGCGGAUGGAGCUAUUGAGAGUCGCAGAUACCAGGUGGCUGCAACUGUUUAUUAAAAACACAGCACUGUGCAAAAUCGUAAGAUGACGUAUACGGUGUGACGCCUGCCCGGUGCCGGAAGGUUAAUUGAUGGGGUUAGACUUCGGUCGAAGCUCUUGAUCGAAGCCCCGGUAAACGGCGGCCGUAACUAUAACGGUCCUAAGGUAGCGAAAUUCCUUGUCGGGUAAGUUCCGACCUGCACGAAUGGCGUAAUGAUGGCCACGCUGUCUCCACCCGAGACUCAGUGAAAUUGAAAUCGCUGUGAAGAUGCAGUGUACCCGCGGCUAGACGGAAAGACCCCGUGAACCUUUACUACAGCUUGGCACUGAACAUUGACCCUACAUGUGUAGGAUAGGUGGGAGGCUUUGAAGCACGUACGCCAGUAUGUGUGGAGCCGUCCUUGAAAUACCACCCUUGUAGUGUUGAUGUUCUAACGUCGACCCCUAAUCGGGGUUGCGGACAGUGCCUGGUGGGUAGUUUGACUGGGGCGGUCUCCUCCCAAAGAGUAACGGAGGAGCACGAAGGUGGGCUAAUCACGGUUGGACAUCGUGAGGUUAGUGCAAUGGCAUAAGCCCGCUUGACUGCGAGAAUGACAAUUCGAGCAGGUGCGAAAGCAGGUCAUAGUGAUCCGGUGGUUCUGAAUGGAAGGGCCAUCGCUCAACGGAUAAAAGGUACUCCGGGGAUAACAGGCUGAUACCGCCCAAGAGUUCAUAUCGACGGCGGUGUUUGGCACCUCGAUGUCGGCUCAUCACAUCCUGGGGCUGAAGUCGGUCCCAAGGGUAUGGCUGUUCGCCAUUUAAAGUGGUACGCGAGCUGGGUUUAGAACGUCGUGAGACAGUUCGGUCCCUAUCUGCCGUGGGCGUUGGAAGAUUGAAGGGGGCUGCUCCUAGUACGAGAGGACCGGAGUGGACGAACCUCUGGUGUUCGGGUUGUGUCGCCAGACGCAUUGCCCGGUAGCUAAGUUCGGAAUCGAUAACCGCUGAAAGCAUCUAAGCGGGAAGCGAGCCCUGAGAUGAGUCUUCCCUGAUACUUUAAGUAUCCUAAAGGGUUGUCGGAGACUACGACGUUGAUAGGUCAGGUGUGUAAGUGCUGUGAGGCAUUGAGCUAACUGAUACUAAUUGCCCGUGAGGCUUAACCAU
rnacentral:rRNA from 1 species